GCUUCUCCAAUGACAACUGAUUUUGAGGAGCUUAUUGAAGAGUUUGAGAAACUUGAAUUAGAAAUUGCACCAACCAGAGAAGAUGAUGAUGAGUCUGGUGUGGAUUCAGAUUAAGCCAU